GAUGAACGCUGGCGGCGUGCCUAAUACAUGCAAGUCGAGCGAACAGAUGAGGAGCUUGCUCCUCUGACGUUAGCGGCGGACGGGUGAGUAACACGUGGAUAACCUACCUAUAAGACUGGGAUAACUUCGGGAAACCGGAGCUAAUACCGGAUAAUAUAUUGAACCGCAUGGUUCAAUAGUGAAAGACGGUUUUGCUGUCACUUAUAGAUGGAUCCGCGCCGCAUUAGCUAGUUGGUAAGGUAACGGCUUACCAAGGCAACGAUGCGUAGCCGACCUGAGAGGGUGAUCGGCCACACUGGAACUGAGACACGGUCCAGACUCCUACGGGAGGCAGCAGUAGGGAAUCUUCCGCAAUGGGCGAAAGCUUGGCGGAGCAACGCCGCGUGAGUGAUGAAGGUCUUCGGAUCGUAAAACUCUGUUAUUAGGGAAGAACAAAUGUGUAAGUAACUAUGCACGUCUUGACGGUACCUAAUCAGAAAGCCACGGCUAACUACGUG
rnacentral:rRNA from 1 species